AACUUAGUGGCGGACGGGUGAGUAACGCGUGGGUAACCUGCCUUACACAGGGGGAUAGCAGUUGGAAACGACUGGUAAUACCGCAUACCUUACAUUAUUCGCAUGUUUGAUGUAAGAAAGAUUUUAUCGGUGUAAGAUGGACCCGCGUCUGAUUAGCUAGUUGGUGUGGUAACGGCAUACCAAGGCGACGAUCAGUAGCCGGCCUGAGAGGGUGAACGGCCACAUUGGGACUGAGAUACGGCCCAGACUCC
rnacentral:rRNA from 1 species